rnacentral:rRNA from 1 species
GACGAACGCUGGCGGCGUGCUUAACACAUGCAAGUCGAACGGAAAGGCCCUGCUUUUGUGGGGUGCUCGAGUGGCGAACGGGUGAGUAACACGUGAGUAACCUGCCCUUGCCUUUGGGAUAACUUCAGGAAACUGGGGCUAAUACCGGAUAGGAGCUCCUGCUUCAUGGUGGGGGUUGGAAAGUUUCGGCGGUUGGGGAUGGACUCGCGGCUUAUCAGCUUGUUGGUGGGGUAGUGUCUUACCAAGGCUUUGACGGGUAGCCGGCCUGAGAGGGUGACCGGCCACAUUGGGACUGAGAUACGGCCCAGACUCCUACGGGAGGCAGCAGUGGGGAAUAUUGCACAAUGGGCGGAAGCCUGAUGCAGCAACGCCGCGUGCGGGAUGACGGCCUUCGGGUUGUAAACCGCUUUCGCCUGUGACGAAGCGUGAGUGACGGUAAUGGGUAAAGAAGCACCGGCUAACUACGUG